rnacentral:lncRNA from 1 species
UCCAUGGACAAAAAACAAAAUCGGGGUAACAAACUAAAACUGAGGGAAACUCAUUAAAUAUAAGAGGAGAACAACGACACAACACUACAAUGUAACACACACAAAAACGGACCAAGCAUCAGACAAAAACCCACGUGAAUAACAAAUAUAACAUCAAAACCAAAUACAUGAAUUUAGGAUAGACAAGUACCGUGACACGUCUUAUCGCAAUGUGAAUUUACACUCAAAAAUAAGAGAAAACAAACGAC